GACCUGCGGAGGAUCAUUACUAGAGCAAAGGAUAGACACUACCCUACUUCGGUAGGGUUUAGAGUCGUCGGGCCUCUCGGAGAAGCUCGGUCCUGAACUCCACCCUUGAAUAAAUUACCUUUGUUGCUUUGGCGGGCCGCCUCGUGCCAGCGGCUUCGGCUGUUGAGUGCCCGCCAGAGGACCACAACUCUUGUUUUUAGUGAUGUCUGAGUACUAUAUAAUAGUUAAAACUUUCAACAACGGAUCUCUUGGUUCUGGCAUCGAUGAAGAACGCAGCGAAAUGCGAUAAGUAAUGUGAAUUGCAGAAUUCAGUGAAUCAUCGAAUCUUUGAACGCACAUUGCGCCCUCUGGUAUUCCGGGGGGCAUGCCUGUUCGAGCGUCAUUAUAACCACUCAAGCUCUCGCUUGGUAUUGGGGUUCGCGGUUUCGCGGCCCCUAAAAUCAGUGGCGGUGCCUGUCGGCUCUACGCGUAGCAAUACUUCUCGCGAUUGAGUCCGAUAGGUCUACUUGCCAGUAACCCCCAAUUUUUACAGGUUGACCUCGGAUCAGGUAGGGAUACCCGCUGAACUUAAGCAUAUCAAUAAGCGGAGGAA
rnacentral:rRNA from 1 species